AUUGAACGCUGGCGGAAUGCUUUACACAUGCAAGUCGAGCGGCAGCGCGGGGGCAACCCUGGCGGCGAGCGGCGAACGGGUGAGUAACAUAUCGGAACGUACCCCGUCGUGGGGGAUAACACAGCGAAAGCUGUGCUAAUACCGCAUACGACCUGAGGGUGAAAGCGGGGGAUCGCAAGACCUCGCGCGAUGGGAGCGGCCGAUAUCGGAUUAGCUUGUUGGUGAGGUAAAGGCUCACCAAGGCGACGAUCCGUAGCUGGUCUGAGAGGACGACCAGCCACACUGGAACUGAGACACGGUCCAGACUCCUACGGGAGGCAGCAGUGGGGAAUUUUGGACAAUGGGCGAAAGCCUGAUCCAGCCAUGCCGCGUGAGUGAAGAAGGCCU
rnacentral:rRNA from 1 species